GAACUCCUACGGGAGGCAGCAGUAAGGAAUAUUGCGCAAUGGGCGAAAGCCUGACGCAGCGACGCCGCGUGGGGGAUGAAGGUCUUCGGAUUGUAAACCCCUUUCGGGAGGGAAGAUGGAGCGAGCAAUCGUUCGGACGGUACCUCCAGAAGCAGCCACGGCCAACUUCGUGCCAGCAGCCGCGGUAAUAAU
rnacentral:rRNA from 1 species